GACGAACGCUGGCGGCGUGCUUAACACAUGCAAGUCGAACGGAAAGGCCCUGCUUUUGUGGGGUGCUCGAGUGGCGAACGGGUGCGUAACACGUGAGUAACCUGCCCUUGACUUUGGGAUAACUUCAGGAAACUGGGGCUAAUACCGGAUAGGAGCUCCUGCUGCAUGGUGGGGGUUGGAAAGUCUCGGCGGUUGGGGUUGGACUCGCGGCUUAUCAGCUUGUUGGUGGGGGAGUGGCUUACCAAGGCUUUGACGGGUAGCCGGCCUGGGAGGGUGACCGGCGACAUUGGGACUGAGAUACGGCCCAGACGCCUACGGGGGGCAGCAGUGGGGAAUAUUGCACAAUGGGCGGAAGCCUGAUGCGGCAACGCCGCGUGCGGGAUGACGGCCUUCUGGUUGUAAACCGCUUUCGCCUGUGACGAAGCGUGAGUGACGGUAAUGGGUAAAGAAGCACCGGCUAACUACGUG
rnacentral:rRNA from 1 species